AUAGGAAGUAAACCAUUAUGGACAAUUGUUUUAUAAAAAAAGUCUUGGACCAAUCAUUGCAAAGGGAUAACUUCAUUGAAGAAACUACUAUUACAACGAGGACCAACAUCUAGACAUAAAGGAAUAUUCCGAAAAAAAGCAUCACUUAUAUAAAUAUAUCUAAAUAUAACAAAUGGACAACAAAUCACCAUCGACAACGUAGUGAAAAGAAAAAAAAAGUUUCAGUGAAUAAAUGUUAUCAGAACUCGAUAGGAAUCUGUCGAAUCAAGCAAGAAAUACAUUAUUUGGAUAAACAAAUUUUAAUUUAACAACUGAAAAACAAAUAUAUACAAAGCGUAAAUCUACGCCAUCUAUCAAGCAAUUUCGGAAUUACAGAUUCAUUUUUACUUCUUUAAGAAAAUAUUGUAAAACAAUAUCAAAACAUCAUGAUGAUAUCAACAAAAAUUGUAAUGUCUUUCCAUCGUAUAUAAUUACUUUAUUUGUCAAAUCAACAAUAAUAAUACAUAAUCCUAUUUGUAAUAUUAAUGACAAAUUUAAAUUUAUGACGUCAUCAACAGUUGUGGGAUUAUUUGAUGCGGUCUUACAAUGCCCGGCCAAGUUUCAAACUAUGGUAAACGCGAACACAGUUAAACAUAGAAAAUGUCAAAAAGAGUAAAUGUCGACGAAUUUUUAAAUUUUGGCAUGUCGUCGUCAAUCGCGUGAAAAAUGCAUCACUGGGGUUUAUUUCCAAGAGAAACAAAUACAUUUUACAAAUUAAAGGAUUCAUAAAAUUGCAGAAAGAGAAUUGAUACAAGAACUAGAUGUUUCACUAUCCCUAAUAACGAAAUAACCAAAUAUUCGUUUUAUUUAUUUCGGAAAUGCAAAAAAAGCUGACGUCCCAGGUAUGGGUUUAGACCAUUGAAGAGCCAAUUGAGAGAGCUUCAAAAUGACGUACUACUCAAUCACCUUGAAGCGGUCGAGAAUGUGUAAAACUACCCCCAAUACUAAAAUAACCAAAUGUUUAUUUUAUUUAUUUCGGACUCGCAAAAAAAGCUGACGUCCCAGGUAACAAAUUAGGCCAUUGAAAAACCGCUUAGAAGAUGCUAGUUUAACAGCAAAAUUUAUCAUCAAUGACUUAUCAAUAAAACGACUUCUGAUAACUUCAAGAGAAAUUACCAUAAGAAAUUUAAAUAAACCAUCAUUGCCAAUUUGGAAAGAAAAUUAUCCAAGUAAAAUAUUAUUUGGAUAAAUGGAUAUAAACACAGGUACGAUAUGAGUCGGAGAGGAAUCUGUUUAAAAUGAGAAGGAAAAACCUGCUAUUAAUUCAAGAAAGUGAAUUUUUAAGUAGUUACCGACAGUUUUAAUGUAGAUUUCAGGCCGUUAAGUCAUGAAAAUGCCUAUUUUGAAUAUAAUCUACCGUAAAUCAAGGGCGAAAACCAAUUUUUUGUUCGUUUUAAUAAGAAGCAAUCUUCAGAGCACUAAUUGGUAUUAAUUGUAAUUCGAAGGAGGUUUCGGGGGUUUAAGGUGCGCUCAAAACGAUACAAUGAUUUAAAAUUGUAUCUGACGUUUCGUUUUAAUAAGAAGUCAUCUUCAGGGCAUUAAUUUGUAAUAAUUGGAAUUUGAAGGUUAUUCCGAGGGUUUUAAGUUGCGCUGAAGAUGAUGCAAUGAUUUAAAAUUGUAUCCGACGUUUCGUUUUAGUAAGAAGCCAUCCUCAGAGCCCUAAUUCGUAAUAAUUGCAAUUUAAAUUUAAGAUUUCUAACCUCAUCGUUAGUUGUGAGGUUAUCCGAUACGAUAUCUACGAUAAGAAGAACAAAUGCCAAUAAAUUACAAGAUACUCGUCGAUCAUGCAUUUUUGAAGAUUACGGGAUCCAAAAAUUUAUAUAAAAACAAAAUUACGUACAACAAUAAGAUGUUUUGUCAUGAAGAUUGGUUGGAUUUCAACUUCAAUAGUUAUUGUUAAAUGCAGAUGAAAGUGCCUCUUAAAACUUCAUACCAUUGCGGAAAUUAUCAUCAAUUAAUUAUUAACAAAACAACUGUCAACAACUUCUAAAAAGAUUAUCCUAAAGAACUUUGCACAAUUGUUAUUACAAAUCCAGUAAAUUUCUACCAUGUUUAUAUUAUAAAUUAUAGAUGACAUUGAGCACUACAACAUCAACGUUUCACAUAACUUUUUAAAAUUACUUAUACGAUUUAAAUUAUUUACAUUUUUUUUCUGUCAAAAUAUGAUUUGUAAUGGCUAUAUUUUAAAUAGAUUAUUUUUAAUUGAUUUCUUAGAAUAUUUUGGAAAAUUUAAAUUGUUUUUUUAUUUAUUGAAAUAAUAAAAAAUUUGGAAUAUUUAUACAGAUAGAAAGUAAACCAUUAUCGACAAUUGUUUUAUAAAAAAUGUCUUGGACCAAUCAUUGCAAAGGGAUAACUUCAUUGAAGAAACUACUAUUACAAUGAGGACCAACAUCUAGACAUAAAGGAAUAUUCCGAAAAAAAGCAUCACUUAUAUAAAUAUAUCUAAAUAUAACAAAUGGACAACAAAUCACCAUCGACAACGUAAUGAAAAGAACAAAAAAGUUUCAGUGAAUAAAUGUUAUCAGAACUCGAUAGGAAUCUGUCGAAUCAAGCAAGAAAUACAUUAUUUGGAUAAACAAAUUUUAAUUUAACAAUUGUGGGAUUAUUUGAUGCGGUUUUACAAUGUCCAUCCAAGUUUCAAACUAUGGUAAACGCGAACACAGUUAAUCAUAGAAAAUGUCAAAAUGGGUAAAUGUCGAUGAAUUUUUAAAUUUUGGCAUGUCGUCGUCAAUCGCGUGAAAAAUGCAUCUUUGGGGUUUAUUUCCAAGAGAAACAAAUACAUUUUACAAAUUAAAGGAUUCAAAAAAUUGCAGAAAGAGAAUUGAUACAAGAACUAGAUGUUUCACUACCCCUAAUAACGAAAUAACCAAAUAUUCGUUUUAUUUAUUUCGGAAACGCAAAAAAAGCUGACGUCCCAGGUAUGGGUUUAGAUCAUUGAAGAGCCACUUGAGAGAGCUUCAAAAUGACGUACUACUCAAUCACCUUGAAGCGGUCGAGAAUGUGUAAAACUACCCCCAAUACUAAAAUAACCAAAUGUUUAUUUUAUUUAUUUCGGCCUCGCCAAAAAAGCUGACGUCCCAGGUAACAAAUUAGGCCAUUGAAAAACCGCUUAGAAGAGGGUAGUUUAACAGCAAAAUUUAUCAUCAAUGAGUUAUCAGUAAGACGACUUCUGAUAACUUCAAGAGAAAUUACCAUAAGAAAUUUAAAUAAACCAUCAUUGCCAAUUUGGAAAGAAAAUUAUCCAAGUAAAAUAUUAUUUGGAUAAAUGGAUAUAAACACAGGUAAAGUUUUAUCAUGUUCAAAUUAUAAGUCGUAAUUGAUAUUUGAUAUAAAAUUAACUUUUCAUAUAAUUUUUCAAAAUUAUUUACACAAUUCAAGUUAGUUUUAUUGUUUUUGUCAACAUUUACAUGAAUCAUAUAUAUGUGUAAGUAUUUCAAAUAGACGAUUUUCAAUUUGUUUCCCAAAAUUGCAUGAUAAAUUUAAAAUAUUUUAUUUACUCUUUUGACGGUAAAAUUUUUUUCAUGUUAUAAUCCUGUAAGUAAAAAACAAACCAUCAUUAACAAUUUCUCUAUAAAGAAUGCCUUCAAUCAGUUAUUGAACAUGGACCGACUGAUAAUUUCAUUCAAAAAAUUACCAUCACCAUUUUACAAAGACUUAUAUCAUCUAAAAAGAAAGAAAUAAUUUAAAAAAAUAUAUUUAAAAUGAAUGAAUGAAAACAUGAUGAUGAUGAUAAUUAAUCUUAAUUUUCUUUUAAUAUUUAUAUUAUUACUCUUAAUUUGAAAUAUUAGUGUUUUAAUGUGUUUCAUUUAUUUAUAUAUUUUUUUAAAUUAUUCAAGUUUUUUAAAUUUUAAUUUCCUAAUAUUUCUUUUUGAAUGUAAAAUUUUCCAUUUAUUUCUCUCAAUGGAAAUUUAAAAAUUAUUAUAUAUUUUUAAGUAGACAAUAAAUCACUACCGACAACUUAGUUAUAAAGAAAAUCAUUCAUCAAUUAUGAAAAAAAAAAGAAGACAAUUUUAUUAAAUAAAUGAUCAUUGAAACUUUGUAAGUAUUCGUCGAGUCAUCCAAGAAAUACUUCAUUUAGACACAAAUUUCAAUUGAACAAGUGUUUUUUAUAUUCAUUUUAUGUAACAUAUUACGUGUAAUAUCUACUACUACAAAAUCAAUAAUUACUUUAUAUAAUUUUUAAUAUUUUCCAGUUUAACACAAGAAAUGUAAAACAUAAAUCCACACAAUUUGUCAAACAAAUUCGGCAUUGUUUACAGAUUAAUUUUUAUUUCUUUUAAGAAAAUAAAGUGACGACAAGAAAUGAAAUAAAAGAAAACUAUAAAGAAUAAAAUAUCGUUUAUUUAAAAAAAAAUUCAAAUGAAUAUCACAUGCGAUGUUAAAAAUAUUCAUUAUAAUUAAGAAAAAAGUAAAAGAAACAAUAAUAAUGCGGAUAAUUACAGAUUAUUUUUAAAUAUAUUUUUGCAUUUUUGAUGUUUCAAUAUCUUAACGAAAUUACCAAAAAACUAAUAAUUUUCUAAUAUUUCAUCGCAUGUAAUUGCCUAAUAAUAUCGUAUAUAAUAUCAAAUAAUUGCCUAAUUCGUGAAAUUAACAAUAUGAAAUAUAUUCAACGUGAAAUUUGUGACGCCAUUGACAGUUGCGACGUUAUCCAAUACGCUUCUGCAGUGCCCGUUCCGAAUUUGAAUCUAUGGUAGACACAACCAUAUUCGAACACGAAGAAGAGUCGUUGAAGACGCCGAGAUGAGAACAUGGUGCAAAUUUCAAGAUUUUGGAAUAUCGUCGUUCAUCGCGCAAAGAAUACAUCGCGGGGAUUUAUUUUGAGAAGAAACAGAAAUAUUUCAUACAUAACAGGUGAUUAGGAUACCCAAGAAAUUACGCAAAAGCAAAACAAUACAGAUAAUAGAAAAGUGAGCAUACAGAAAAAUAUUUGAUAUGAUUCAACAACAAGGUGUUUAGUCAUAAAGAAUGAUUCCAAUUCGGAUUAGAUAGUUUUCAUCAAGUACGAGUGAAUAUACCUCGUACAACAUAAAAAUUACCCCGAGUUGGUUAUCAAAGAAACAAUUGUAGACAACUUCUAAAGAAAUUGUCAUAAGGAACACUGAUUUGAGAUGGAUAUAUUUCUGCAAAUGAAUAACAAACCAUCAUUGACCAUUGAUGAUCACUUUUAUGAAGAAUGUCUUUUACCAUUCAUCCAAAAAAAAAGCCGUUGAUAAUUUCAUCAAAAAGAUUACCGUUGUGACCCUACAAGGACCGAUGUCAUCUAGACGAGAAGAGGUUUUCCAAGAAAUAGGAUACUCGAAUAAAAAGAUUCAAAUGUACCAAGCAAGUUUUAAAUAAACUCAUAUCGUAUGUUAUAUGUAGUGUUUCAUAUUAAAAAGUUAAUAAUUUAUGUAAUGCUUUUAUGAAAUUGAUUAAGUUACUCAAUUAUUUUUAGGCACUAACUUUUAAUAUAUAUUGAAUGAUUUAUAUUUUAAACAUUUCAAUACUUAAAUCGUUUAUACCUUUUGUUAAACUAUUUAAAAUAAAUAUGUUUUAAUUUCUUCAAGUUUGGCUAGUAUUUGGAAGAUAUUGACAUGAAUAUGUAACUUUUUGCAUCAAAAAUUGAUAGUUUAAGCUGAUAUUUGUAGUAUUGAUGCGGUUUUAGGUACGAUAUGAGUCGGAGAAGCCAAUUUUGACUGGAAUCUGUUUAAAAUGAGAAGGAAAAACCUGCUAUUAAUUCAAGAAAGUGAAUUUUUAAGUAGUUACCGGCAGUUUUAAUGUAGAUUUCAGGCCGUUAAGUCAUGAAAAUGCCUAUUUUGAAUAUAAUCUACCGUAAAUCCAGGGCGAAAACCAAUUUUUUGUUCGUUUUAAUAAGAAGCAAUCUUCAGAGCACUAAUUGGUAAUAAUUGUAAUUUGAAGGAGGUUUCGGGGGUUUAAGGUGCGCUCAAAACGAUACAAUGAUUUAAAAUUGUAUCCGACGUUUCAUUUUAAUAAGAAGUCAUCUUCAGGGCAUUAAUUUGUAAUAAUUGGAAUUUGAAGGUUAUUCCGAGGGUUUUAAGUUGCGCUGAAGAUGAUGCAAUGAUUUAAAAUUGUAUCCGACGUUUCGUUUUAGUAAGAAGCCAUCCUCAGAGCACUAAUUCGUAAUAAUUGCAAUUUAAAAUUUAAAUUUAAGAUUUCUAACCUCAUCGUUAGUUGUGAGGUUAUCCGAUACGAUAUCUACGAUAAGAAGAACAAAUGCCAAUAAAUUACAAGAUACUCGUCGAUCAUGCAUUUUUGAAGAUUACGGGAUCCAAAAAUUUAUAUAAAAACAAAAUUACGUACAACAAUGAGAUGUUUUGUCAUGAAGAUUGGUUGGAUUUCAACUUCAAUAGUUAUUGUUAAAUGCAGAUGAAAAUCCCUCGUAAAACUUCAUACCAUUGCGGAAAUUAUCAUCAAUUAAUUAUUAACAAAACAACUGUCAACAACUUCUAAAAAGAUUAUCCUAAAGAACUUUGCACAAUUGUUAUUACAAAUUCGACUACAAAAAUAUCACUGAAAUAAAUAAAUACAAACAUAUCCAGUAAAUUUCUACCAUGUUUAUAUUAUAAAUUAUAGAUGACAUUGAGCACUACAACAUCAAUGUUUCACAUAACUUUUUAAAAUUACUUAUACGAUUUUAAUUAUUUACAUUUUUUUUCUGUCAAAAUAUGAUUUGUAAUGGCUAUAUUUUAAAUAGAUUAUUUUUAAUUGAUUUCUUAGAAUAUUUUGGAAAAUUUAAAUUGUUUUUUUAUUUAUUGAAAUAAUAAAAAAUUUGGAAUAUUUAUGCAGAUAGAAAGUAAACCAUUAUCGACAAUUGUUUUAUAAAAAAUGUCUUGGACCAAUCAUUGCAAAGGGAUAACUUCAUUGAAGAAACUACUAUUACAAUGAGGACCAACAUCUAGACAUAAAGGAAUAUUCCGAAAAAAAGCAUCACUUAUAUAAAUAUAUCUAAAUAUAACAAGAUUCAAAAAAUUGCAGAAAGAGAAUUGAUACAAGAACUAGAUGUUUCACUACCCCUAAUAACGAAAUAAACAAAUAUUCGUUUUAUUUAUUUCGGGAACGCAAAAAAAGCUGACGUCCCAGGUAUGGGUUUAGACCAUUGAAGAGCCACUUGAGAGAGCUUCAAAAUGACGUACUACUCAAUCACCUAGAAGCGGUCGAGAAUGUACUCGCAAAAAAAGCUGACGUCCCAGGUAACAAAUUAGGCCAUUGAAAAACCGCUUAGAUGAGGGUAGUUUAACAGCAAAAUUUAUCAUCAAUGAGUUAUCAAUAAAACGACUUCUGAUAACUUCAAGAGAAAUUACCAUAAGAAAUUUAAAUAAACCAUCAUUGCCAAUUUGGAAAGAAAAUUAUCCAAGUAAAAUAUUAUUUGGAUAAAUGGAUAUAAACACAGACACAACCAUAUUCGAAGAUUUUGGAAUAUCGUCGUUCAUCGCGGGGAUUUAUUUUGAGAAGAAACAGAAAUAUUUCAUACAUAACAGGUGAUUAGGAUACCCAAGAAAUUACGCAAAAGCAAAACAAUACAGAUAGUAGAAAAGUGAGCAUACAGAAAAAUAUUUGAUAUGAUUCAACAACAAGGUGUUUAGUCAUAAAGAAUGAUUCCAAUUCGGAUUAGAUAGUUUUCAUCAAGUACGAGUGAAUAUACCUCGUACAACAUAAAAAUUACUGCGAGUUAGUUAUCUAAGAAACAAUUGUAGACAACUUCUAAAGAAAUUGUCAUAAGGAACUUGCCAAAAUUGCCAUCACCGAUUUGAGAUGGAUAUAUUUCUGCAAAUGAACAACAAACCAUCAUUGACCAUUGAUGAUCACUUUUAUGAAGAAUGUCUUUGACCAUUCAUCCAAAAAAAAAGCCGUUGAUAAUUUCAUCAAAAAGAUUACCGUUACCAUCUAGACGAGAAGAGGUUUUCCAAGAAAUAGGAUACUCGAAUAAAAAGAUUCAAAUGUACCAAGCAAGUUUUAAAUAAACUCAUAUCGUAUGUUAUAUGUAGUGUUUCAUAUUAAAAAGUUAAUAAUUUAUGUAAUGCUUUUAUGAAAUUGAUUAAGUUACUCAAUUAUUUUUACGGCACUAACUUUUAAUAUAUAUUGAAUGAUUUAUAUUUUAAACAUUUCAAUAAUUAAAUCGUUUAUACCUUUUGUUAAACUAUUUAAAAUAAAUAUGUUUUAAUUUCUUCAAGUUUGGCUAGUAUUUGGAAGAUAUUGACAUGAAUAUGUAACUUUUUGCAUCAAAAAUUGAUAGUUUAAGCUGAUAUUUGUAGUAUUGAUCCGGUUUUAGGUACGAUAUGAGUCGGAGAAGAAUCUGUUUAAAAUGAGAAGGAAAAACCUGCUAUUAAUUCAAGAAAGUGAAUUUUUAAGUAGUUACUGGCAGUUUUAAUGUAGAUUUCAGGCCGUUAAGUCAUGAAAAUGCCUAUUUUGAAUAUAAUCAAGGGCGAAAACCAAUUUUUUGUUCGUUUUAAUAAGAAGCAAUCUUCAGAGCACUAAUUGGUAAUAAUUGUAAUUUGAAGGAGGUUUCGGGGGUUUAAGGUGCGCUCAAAACGAUACAAUGAUUUAAAAUUGUAUCCGACGUUUCGUUUUAAUAAGAAGUCAUCUUCAGGGCAUUAAUUUGUAAUAAUUGGAAUUUGAAGGUUAUUGCGAGCGUUUUAAGUUGCGCUGAAGAUGAUGCAAUGAUUUAAAAUUGUAUCCGACGUUUCGUUUUAGUAAGAAGCCAUCCUCAGAGCACUAAUUCGUAAUAAUUGCAAUUUAAAAUUUAAAUUUAAGAUUUCUAACCUCAUCGUUAGUUGUGAGGUUAUCCGAUACGAUAUCUACGAUAAGAAGAACAAAUGCCAAUAAAUUACAAGAUACUCGUCGAUCAUGCAUUUUUGAAGAUUACGGGAUCCAAAAAUUUAUAUAAAAACAAAAUUACGUACAACAAUGAGAUGUUUUGUCAUGAAGAUUGGUUGGAUUUCAACUUCAAUAGUUAUUGUUAAAUGCAGAUGAAAGUGCCUCGUAAAACUUCAUACCAUUGCGGAAAUUAUCAUCAAUUAAUUAUUAACAAAACAACUGUCAACAACUUCUAAAAAGAUUAUCCUAAAGAACUUUGCACAAUUGUUAUUACAAAUUCAACUACAAAAAUAUCACUCGAAUAAAUAAAUACAAACAUAUCCACUAAAUUUCUACCAUGUUUAUAUUAUAAAUUAUAGAUGACAUUGAGCACUACAACAUCAACGUUUCACAUAACUUUUUAAAAUUACUUAUACGAUUUAAAUUAUUUACAUUUUUAUUUUUAAUUGAUUUCUUAGAAUAUUUUGGAAAAUUUAAAUUGUUUUUUUAUUUAUUGAAAUAAUAAAAAAUUUGUAAUAUUUAUACAGAUAGAAAGUAAACCAUUAUCGACAAUUGUUUUAUAAAAAAUGUCUUGGCCCAAUCAUUGCAAAGGGAUAACUUCAUUGAAGAAACUACUAUUACAACGAGGACCAACAUCUAGACAUAAAGGAAUAUUCCGAAAAAAAGCAUCACUUAUAUAAAUAUAUCUAAAUAUAACAAAUGGACAACAAAUCACCAUCGACAACGUAAUGAAAAGAAAAAAAAAGUUUCAGUGAAUAAAUGUUAUCAGAACUCGAUAGGAAUCUGUCGAAUCAAGCAAGAAAUACAUUAUUUGGAUAAACAAAUUUUAAUUUAACAAGAUUCAAAAAAUUGCAGAAAGAGAAUUGAUACAAGAACUAGAUGUUUCACUAUCCCUAAUAACGAAAUAACCAAAUAUUCGUUUUAUUUAUUUCGGAAAUGCAAAAAAAGCUGACGUCCCAGGUAUGGGUUUAGACCAUU